GCCAGAGGGGGCAAGCGUUGCUCGGAAUCACUGGGCGUAAAGGGCGCGUAGGCGGGCUGGCAAGUCAGUCGUGAAAUCUCUCGGCUCAACCGAGAAACGUCGGCUGAUACUGCCGUUCUUGAGGGAUGCAGAGGAGACUGGAAUUCCCGGUGUAGCAGUGAAAUGCGUAGAGAUGCGGAGGAACACCGAUGGCGAAGGCAGCCCCCUGGGCUAACACUGACGCUCAGGCACGAAAGCGUGGGGAGCAAACAGG
rnacentral:rRNA from 1 species